ACUCCUACGGGAGGCAGCAGUGGGGAAUUUUGGACAAUGGGCGAAAGCCUGAUCCAGCAAUGCCGCGUGAGUGAAGAAGGCCUUCGGGUUGUAAAGCUCUUUUGUCAGGGAAGAAACGGUGAGAGCUAAUAUCUUUUGCUAAUGACGGUACCUGAAGAAUAAGCACCGGCUAACUACGUGCCAGCAGCCGCGGUAAUACGUAGGGUGCAAGCGUUAAUCGGAAUUACUGGGCGUAAAGCGUGCGCAGGCGGUUUUGUAAGUCUGAUGUGAAAUCCCCGGGCUCAACCUGGGAAUUGCAUUGGAGACUGCAAGGCUAGAAUCUGGCAGAGGGGGGUAGAAUUCCACGUGUAGCAGUGAAAUGCGUAGAUAUGUGGAGGAACACCGAUGGCGAAGGCAGCCCCCUGGGUCAAGAUUGACGCUCAUGCACGAAAGCGUGGGGAGCAAACAGGAUUAGGUACCCCUGUAGUCCCAUGA
rnacentral:rRNA from 1 species